UACGAAGGGGGCUAGCGUUGCUCGGAAUCACUGGGCGUAAAGCGCACGUAGGCGGAUUGUUAAGUCAGGGGUGAAAUCCUGGAGCUCAACUCCAGAACUGCCUUUGAUACUGUCGAUCUCGAGUCCGGGAGAGGUGAGUGGAACUGCGAGUGUAGAGGUGAAAUUCGUAGAUAUUCGCAAGAACACCAGUGGCGAAGGCGGCUCACUGGCCCGGUACUGACGCUGAGGUGCGAAAGCGUGGGGAGCAAACAGG
rnacentral:rRNA from 1 species